AAGGUAAUUAGGGUUUCGAUCUCCAAACCGCCCGUGAUUUAUAGCAAGAUUCUGAUGAUGAUCAGCAAGCGUUUGUUGUAUCAACUGAUAUAGAUGAUCUAUUGCUGCUGCUCUCGUUGUGUUGGAUUUUUGGGCGUGGCAAUUACCCACCUGUACCAGUGGCCCUCUUUCAUGGACUGGUUUUUGAAACUCAUACCUACCCUUUUCUUUCAUAGUUGCAGAAUUACAAGCCCAUGCACACAGAAAAUUAAAGGUGGCUGGUCCAUCAAAUAAGGAGUGGCUUGCGCCUACGCCCACUGAGUAGCCUCCACAGCCAAAUUUU
rnacentral:misc_RNA from 1 species